rnacentral:rRNA from 1 species
AAUAGAUACCCGGGUAGUCCACGCCGUAAACGAUGAUAACUAGCUGUCCGGGCACUUGGUGUUUGGGUGGCGCAGCUAACGCAUUAAGUUAUCCGCCUGGGGGGUACGGUCGCAANGAUUAAAACUCAGAGGAAUUGACGGGGGCCUGCACAAGCGGUGGAGCAUGUGGUUUUAAUUCGAAGCAACGCGCAGAACCUUACCAGCCUUUGACAUCCCGCGCNUAACCUGAGAGAUCAGGGGGUUCCCUUCGGGGACGCGGUGACAGGUGCUGCAUGGCUGUCGUCAGCUCGUGUCGUGAGAUGUUGGGUUAAGUCCCGCAACGAGCGCAACCCUCGUCCUUAGUUGCCAUCAUUUAGUUGGGCACUCUAAGGAAACCGCCGGUGAUAAGCCGGAGGAAGGUGGGGAUGACGUCAAGUCCUCAUGGCCCUUACAGGCUGGGCUACACACGUGCUACAAUGGCGGUGACGAGUGGGCAGCAACUCGCGAGGGUGAGCUAAUCUACCAAACGCCGUCUCAGUUCGGUAUUGUUCU